rnacentral:miRNA from 1 species
CAAUAAACCACGAACAGCCGU